rnacentral:rRNA from 1 species
GAUGAACGCUGGCGGCGUGCUUAACACAUGCAAGUCGAACGGUGAAGGCGGAGCUUGCUCUGCUGGAUCAGUGGCGAACGGGUGAGUAACACGUGAGCAAUCUGCCCCUGACUCUGGGAUAAGCGCUGGAAACGGCGUCUAAUACUGGAUACGAGCUGCGAAGGCAUCUUCAGCAGCUGGAAAGAACUUCGGUCAGGGAUGAGCUCGCGGCCUAUCAGCUUGUUGGUGAGGUAACGGCUCACCAAGGCGUCGACGGGUAGCCGGCCUGAGAGGGUGACCGGCCACACUGGGCCUGAGACACGGCCCAGACUCCUACGGGAGGCAGCAGUGGGGAAUAUUGCACAAUGGGCGAAAGCCUGAUGCAGCAACGCCGCGUGAGGGAAGACGGCCUUCGGGUUGUAAACCUCUUUUAGCAGGGAAGAAGCGAAAGUGACGGUACCUGCAGAAAAAGCGCCGGCUAACUACGUG